AAACACUAGACUCGGGCAAGAGGCUCUCUCCGAGAUACGCGCAUGCGCCAAGCGCCAACGCUCGCGCAGCUCGCCGCUGCCGCAUGUCCGACAACGUGUUCGGCGUGUGCUCUCGUAAACGUUGCUCCACGGUCUCACGCGUAUAUCAUUUCUCCGCGCGUCCUAUACGUAAGAAGGAAAGGCGACCUGUGGUAAACGAGCGCAUCGAUGACAAUUCAAGGCAUGGACAUCUGUUUGAACGUCACGGCGGGCCCAGCUGUCGCGACGAGGAAGAACACAUUGAGCAGAACACAGUCCUCCGAAACGUCGAUUAAAAGAUUGAAGAAUCAAUCGUUCCGCAAGGAUGCAGCACACGGUAACAAGGAAUCGCAGAGAAACGCGAGUACGCGAGGGACGGGGUGCACGAAAAGAAUUAAACAGCGGUCAUUAUCGGCUAUCUUUGCCAAGAGGUUCAGAGAAGCACGCUCUGUUGUCCCAGACGUGCAGCCAUCUCAGGGUAAAGGCGUAGCAGCGAGAGCCGCUGCAUCAGGAAAAGUUGCACAGUCUGACACGACGGACAAACGGCAUGUGGAAUCUAAUAAGAUCCCCUCGUGUCAUCCCGACUCCACGAACGAAUCAGCCGUGUCCUUCGUGAAGGCCACGAAAGAGCACGUUGGUAAGGUGCUGUUUGCGAAAAAGAGAGAUGAUUCAAACCGUGAAUCGAAGAAGUCACUUUCCCAAAUAUUUUCAAGUCAGUUGAACAGUCAGAAUGAGUCGGUUAUUCUAAAUUUAACUCGGAAAGAUGAUAAAAGUAAUUCCAAGUCCGACGAAGAGUUCAGAAUAGCUGAUAAGUCACCAGUUCUCAAGUCCAGUCAGAUUCCACCUGCCGAAAACUUCGUUUCUACAAAUAAGACUGUGUCUUUCGGUAAGUCAGCAAAAGGACACGUUGGUAAAGUACUGAAAAGGAAAAGUAAUUCAAAGGGUGAAUUGAAGAGAUCGCUUUCAAAUAUAUUUUCGAGUAAAUUGAAGAGUCUGAACAAGGAGUCGGAUACUCUAAAUUCAACUAGGAAACAUGAUAUUCCUGCAGAUAGCUUCGAAUCGAGCGAGAAAGGCCAAGUGGCAACUGAGGAAUCGCAUGUUUUAAAAAAAGCAAAGGGAACAGAUAUCUUGAGUAAAAGGAAAGAGAGAAUUGUAGGUAGCAAUAGGGAAUCGGACAAAACUCAAAAGUUAACGCACAGACCUGGCGGGAAAGUCUCCUCUUUAUUUGGCAAUAAUCCCGAUGUGCCAACCAUAGGCCAGCGAUUUGUAAGGCCUGUAAGUGAGCCGGUGUUCACGGAGAUCACUUUCGCAGAUCUCAAUGUUCAUCCGUUUAUGAUAUCAAAUUUAGAGCAGAAUAUGAAUAUAACUAAAAUGACGACGGUUCAACAAAAGGCCAUCCCUCAGAUAUUCUCGGAUAAGGAUGUUCUAAUAAGAUCUCAGACAGGUUCUGGCAAAACGUUAGCCUACGCUCUACCCAUUGUUGAACUGUUGCACAAAAUUAGACCAAAAUUAAAUAGGAACAGCGGCUUACUGGCCCUCGUGGUUGUCCCGACGAGAGAAUUGGCCCUGCAGACGUACGAGUGUUUUGUAAAACUAGUUAAACCUUUCACUUGGAUCGUGCCGGGCUACAUAUUUGGCGGAGAAAAGAGAAAAGCGGAAAAGGCUCGGUUACGAAAGGGAUGUAAUAUAUUAAUAUCUACUCCUGGUAGAUUGUUAGAUCAUAUAAAGCACACGAAAGCGCUGAGAUUGAACAACGUUAAAUAUUUCGUGUUAGAUGAAGCCGACAGGAUGCUUGAUAUGGGAUACGAAAUGGACAUUUCCGGGAUAGUAGGCGCGUUGAAAAUAUCACGCUCUAAUAGUGAAUCGGGAUACGACGCUAUGAAGAUAUUUAAGGAGGGUAGUAAAAAGACGGUCACGGAUAAAGAAAUGGAAGGAAUUUCAAAGGAACAUAAUACGAAGUCGAAAACGGGAGAAGAUAAUACGGGCAGCAGUAAAACGAGACAAAUGUAUCAUUCAAGUGACGACAGCGAUAGCGACGAUGGCGAUCGGAUCGCUAGUACCGAUCCGGUAUCCGAGAAAACGAAAGAGGAUGAAAGACAUUCCGCCAUGAAUCGGGAAUCUUGUUCGAAGGUGGAAAGUGUUGGAAACGUCGAGCGAGAUUGUGAAAAACAAUCGAGUCGGAGGACAAUCUUGUUGUCCGCGACUCUGACACAAGCCGUCGAAAAGUUGGCAGGUCUCACGAUGCGCAAUCCGAUCUUCGUUGACGCGGCUAAGGAGAAUUUAGCGGCCAGCGGGGGCGACACUAGCGAGAUCAACGAAGACCUGGUAGUCCCGCAAAGUGUAAUGCAAAGUUACAUAGUCACCCCAGCGAAAUUAAGGAUGGUCACGCUAAGCGCUUACAUCGCCGGGAGAUGUCAGACUCCAGGGCAACACAAAAUAUUGAUUUUUAUGGCCACGCAAGACAUGGUCGAUUAUUACACUGAGAUUUUGUCCUCUAUUUUAACGAAACCGGCGGAUGACGACGACGAAGACUCCGAUCCGCUGGUUGACGUGGAAUUCUUUAAAUUGCACGGUAAUAUGACGCAGAAAGAAAGGACGGGGGUAUUCAAAACUUUCAGUCAAGCGAAGAGCGGAGUACUGCUGUGCACGGACGUCGCAGCUCGAGGACUGGAUAUGCCGAAGGUAGAUUGCGUCGUUCAGUAUACCGGUCCGAUUUCGGCUAGGGAUUACGUUCAUCGAAUCGGCAGAACCGCGCGCGCAGGUUGCUCCGGCGUGGCGGCGAUCUUCCUGACGCCCGCGGAAGUCGAGUUCGUGCGGAUGCUCGAGUCGAGGCGCAUCAGAAUCAGGCAGCAGGACAUGAACGAUGUCCUGGACAAGCUACUGGGGCCCUUCUCCAGGCACGGCUCCGUGCAUGCAGCGGCUGUCGCUCUCCAAAAUGACUUCGAAGAAUUAGUAUUGGAGAAUCGACAACUUCGCGCGAAAGCGUGUAAAGCCUACGUCUCCUGGGUGCGUUUCUAUUCGAGUUAUCCGCGCGACAUGCACGAGGUAUUCAAUCGAAAGGAUCUUCAUUUGGGUCACUAUGCCAAGAGUUUCGCGCUGAGGGAUCCACCGCAACAGAUCGGCAGGUUCGGUAAGAAGCUACGCGAGGAAGAGAUUACGAGGCCCAGGCACAAUAACCGUCUGUCAAACAUGCCAUCUGACGGGGUGCCGCAAAAGAAGCAGAGGACCCGGGACGGCAACGGGCAGAAAACGGGCUCACUGAAGAGGGUUCGAAUGCUCAACACCUCCGAAUACGAUAGCGGCCUCGAAUCCCUGAAGAAGCCAAAGAAGUAAUCCCCGUGCCACGUAAUUGUACGUUGACUCGAUUGUGCACAUUGUUGUAAACAGAAGCAGCGAUUCCUGAGAACAUGUUUUCAAAUAGUGUUUCUAAUACAGAAAACGUACGUCUUCUCGCAGUUUUCUCACGUCUAUCGUGACGAUUAGAGGAAAAUCCCCUGUUAUAAGCUCGUAAGAUAUAGCGGGGGAUUUCUGUUAAAUUAAUCGGCCUCAUCUGUUGAUUUCAUCACGAAUUUAUUGCCCAUGGAGCGAAAUUUGUUUAGUUGGAAAUUCAGUUAGAUCGUGUA